ensembl:lncRNA
UGUGUGUGUGUGUGUGUGUGGGUGUGGGUGUGUGUGUGUGUGUGUGAGGGUGUGUGUGUGUGUGUGUGUGUGUGUGUGUGUGUGGGUGUGUGUGUGUGUGUGUGUGUGGGUGUGUGUGUGUGAGGGUGUGUGUGUGUGUGUGUGUGUGUGGGGUGUGUGUGUGUGGGUGUGUGUGUGUGUGUGUGUGUGUGUGGGUGUGGGUGUGUGUGUGUGUGUGUGUGGGUGUGGGUGUGUGUGUGUGUGUGUGUGUGUGUGGGUGUGGGUGUGUGUGUGUGUGUGUGGGUGUGUGUGUGUGCCGAUAAUGUGGGCGAUCUCUCAGGACUGGAGAUGGAGGUUGUGCUAGAAGGAGAGAGAGAUUGAGAAAGAGGAGGGAGAGAGAUUGAUAAAGAGGAGGGAGAGAGAUUGAUAAAGAGGAGAGAGAGAUUUAAAAAGAAGCAGCAUGCAGCAGGGAGGAGACUGUGCUGCAGGGAGGAGACUGUGCAGCAGGGAGGAGACUGUGCAGCAGGGAGGAGACUGUGCUGCAGGGAGGAGACUGUGCUGCAGGGAGGAGACUGUGCUGCAGGGAGGAGACUGUGCUGCAGGGAGGAGACUGUGCAGCAGGGAGGAGACUGUGCAGCAGGGAGGAGACUGUGCUGCAGGGAGGAGACUGUGCAGCAGGGAGGAGACUGUGCAGCAGGGAGGAGACUGUGCUGCAGGGAGGAGACUGUGCUGCAGGGAGGAGACUGUGCUGCAGGGAGGAGACUGUGCGGCAGGGAGGAGACUGUGCAGCAGGGAGGAGACUGUGCUGCAGGAGGAGACUGUACUGCAGGGAGGAGACUGUGCUGCAGGGAGGAGACUGUGCUGCAGGGAGGAGACUGUGCUGCAGGGAGGAGACAUAAGAAAAGGAGAGAAGAGGCCAAAACUGAAGAAUAGACUAGUGCAUUCGAGUGCAUUCUAAUGCAUUCUAGUGAAUUGUAGAGCAUUCUAAUGCAUUCUAAAGCAUUCUAAUGCAUUGUAGAGCAUUCUAGUGCAUUGUAGAGCAUUCUAUCGGAGGGCCUGUUGUCCAGACCUCUGGCAGUCUCUAUGGGGGUGCCACAGGGUUCAAUUCUCAGGCCAACUCUUUUUUCUGUAUACAUCAAUGAUGUCGCUCUUGCUGCUGGUGACUCUCUGAUCCACGCAGACGACACCAUUCUGUAUACAUCGGGCACAUCUUUGGACACUGUGUUAACAAACAUCCAAACGAGAUUCAAUGCCAUACAACACUCCCCACCGUAUCUCAGCUCACUGGUCACCAUAGCAACACCCACCCAUAGCACGCGCACCCAUAGCACGCGCUCCAGCAGGUAUAUUUCACUGGUCAUCCCCAAAGCCAACACCUCCAUUGGCCAACUUUCCUUCCAGUUCUCUGCUGCCAAUGACUGGAACAAAUUGCAAAAAUCACUGAAGCUGGAGACAUAUCUCCCUCUCUAACUUCAAGCAUCAGCUGUCAGAGCAGCUUACCGAUCACUGUACCUGUACACAGCCCAUCUGUGAAUAGCGCACCCAACUACCUCAUCCCCAUAUUUAUUUAUUUAUUUAUUACCUUUAUUUUACUAGGCAAGUCAGUUAAGAACAAAUUCUUAUUUUCAAUGACGGCCUAGGAACAGUUGGUUAACUGCCUGUUCAAGGGCAGAACGACAGAUUUUGUACCUUGUCAGCUCGGGGAUUUGAACUUUCAACCUUUCGGUUACUAGUCUUACUUAUUAAUUUAUUUUUGCUAUUUUGCACCCCAGUAUCUCAAAUUGCACAUCAUCAUCUGCACAUCUAUCACUCCAGUUUUAAUGCUAAAUUGUAAUUAUUUCACCUCUAUGGCCUAUUUAUUGCCUUACCUCCCUAAUCUUACUACAUUUACACACACUGUACAUAGAUUGUUCUAUUGUAUUAUUGACUGUACGGUUGUUUAUCUCAUGUGUAACUCUGUAUUGUUGUUUUUGUCACACUGCUUUGCUUUAUCUUGGCCAGGUCACAAUUGUAAAUGAGAACUUGUUCUCAACUGGCCUACCUGGUUAAAUAAAGGUGAAAUAAAAAAAAUGAAAUAAAAGAAAUGGUGCAUUCUAAUGCAUUGUAGAGCAUUAUAGUGCAUUGUAGAGCAUUCUAGUCCGUUAUAGAGCAUUCUAGUGCUUUCUAGAGCAUUCUAGUGCUUUCUAGAGCAUUCUAGUAGGUUGUAGAGCAUUCUAGUGCGUUGUAGAGCAUUCUAGUGCGUUUUAGAACAUUCUAGUGCGUUGUAGAGCAUUCUAGUGCAUUGUCGAGCAUGCUAGUCCGUUAUAGAGCAUUCUAGUGCUUUCUAGAGCAUUCUAGUACAUUGUAGAGCAUUCUAGUGCGUUG